rnacentral:rRNA from 1 species
AGUGAACGCUGGCGGUAGGCCUAACACAUGCAAGUCGAACGGCAGCACAGUAAGAGCUUGCUCUUACGGGUGGCGAGUGGCGGACGGGUGAGGAAUACAUCGGAAUCUACUUUUUCGUGGGGGAUAACGUAGGGAAACUUACGCUAAUACCGCAUACGACAUACGGGUGAAAGUAGGGGAUCUUCGGACCUUGCGCGAUUGAAUGAGCCGAUGUCGGAUUAGCUAGUUGGCGGGGUAAAGGCCCACCAAGAGGACGAUCCGUAGCUGGUCUGAGAGGAUGAUCAGCCACACGGGAACUGAGACACGGUCCAGACUCCUACGGGAGGCAGCAGUGGGGAAUAUUGGACAAGGGGCGCAAGCCUGAUCCAGCCAUACCGCGUGGGUGAAGAAGGCCUUCGGGUUGUAAAGCCCUUUUGUUGGGAAAGAAAAGCAGCAGGUUAAUACCCCGCUGUUCUGACGGUACCCAAAGAAUAAGCACCGGCUAACUUCGUG